rnacentral:sRNA from 1 species
UACAAGACUGUAUAUGUGCAACAACCAUGCAAAUGCUUUUUGUUACAGUCCAUACAUAUGUUGUUACGGACUUGAGUGUAGAAAAUUCAUCAUGGUUUCAUAUGUAUGUCUUUUAUAAUUCUUGUUUUAAUGAAGGUUAUUGUCACUAGAGGGAAAAAAAGUGUUUCGUGUUUUGGGUCAAUUCUUACUGAAAGUCAUAGUACUCGCGUGCAUGCUAACUGUAAUAGAGGUCAAAUCAUGGGGUGUCAAAUUGGUUGGGACCAGAAUUGAAUUAUUUCAUAAAAGAAAAAAAAAGAUCUGAAAAUUGACCUGAAGUAAGAAUUGGCUGAAGUAAAUCAAUUAUUGUACAGGUAGACUUGUAGAUCAUAGUGCAGCGUUAGUGUUUGUAUGGAGUUUGAGAAGUCUUGUGAGAUCACGUGAUCAUAUAGAAUGUCAUCAAUCUGUUUUUUGUAUUGAUACACAAAAUUGUUUGUCUUUUUUUUUUUUAAUUUGCAUUCAUUGGUAGAAUUUUAAUUUCAUGUCGAAUCAUGUCAUCAUUCAUUAGAAAAUAAAAAAAAUCACUUGGUUGAUU